CAGCAGCCUCCUCUAGCAGGACAGGACACCCAGAGCGAGGAAGAGAAGAAAAUCGUCCAAGAUGGUUCAGCGUCUUACAUACCGCAAGCGCCAUAGCUAUGCUACCAAGUCUAACAAGCACCGUGUCGUGAAAACCCCUGGCGGGAAGCUUGUGUAUCAGACUACCAAGAAAACAGCCAGUGGACCGAAAUGUCCGGUUACCGGCAAAAGGAUUCAGGGAAUUCCUCACUUGAGGCCAGCUGAAUAUAAGAGGUCUAGAUUGGCUAGGAACCGGAGGACUGUGAAUCGUGCGUAUGGUGGCGUUUUAUCUGGUGGUGCUGUGAGGGAGAGGAUCAUCCGGGCCUUUUUGGUGGAAGAGCAAAAGAUUGUGAAGAAGGUAUUGAAGAUUCAGAAGGCGAAGGAGAAGCUGGCAUCCAAGAGCUAAAUUAAUUGUGUUGGUACUUUUUAGAAAAUUGAUGAAAUUUUGACUUGUUUUUGUGACUUGAUGCUGAAUUUUACCGAUUAUUAUUUGAAGUUUGUUUUUG
rnacentral:misc_RNA from 1 species